rnacentral:tRNA from 3 species
GGGCCUGUGAUCUAGUGGUAUGAUGUCACCUUGACGUGGUGAAUGUCACCGGUUCGAACCCGGUCAGGCCCA